GACUUGGUGGCACAGUUGGUUGAGCGGUGGGACAGAGUCCCUGAAUUGUGAGUUUGAUCCUCAUCCAGGUUC